UGAGGAAUAUUGGUCAAUGGGCGAGAGCCUGAACCAGCCAAAUCGCGUGAAGGAAGACUGCCUUAUGGGUUGUAAACUUCUUUUAUACAGGAAUAAAAAAGGGGACGUGUCCCUUAUUGCAUGUACUGUAUGAAUAAGCAUCGGCUAACUCCGUGCCAGCAGCCGCGGUAAUACGGAGGAUGCGAGCGUUAUCCGGAUUUAUUGGGUUUAAAGGGUGCGCAGGCGGGCUUUUAAGUCAGCGGUGAAAUCUCGGGGCUUAACUCCGAAACUGCCGUUGAAACUGGGAGUCUUGAGUAUGGAUGAAGUAGGCGGAAUUCGUUGUGUAGCGGUGACAUGCUUAGAUAUAACGAGGAACUCCGAUUGCGUAGGCAGCUUACUAAGCCAUAACUGACGCUCAAGCACGAAAGCGUGGGGAUCAAAACAGGAUUAGAUACCCUGGUAGUCCACGCCGUAAACGAUGAUUACUAGUUGUAUGCGAUAUACCGUAUGUGACUAAGCGAAAGCGAUAAGUAAUCCACCUGGGGAGUACGCCGGCAACGGUGAAACUUAAAUGAAUUGACGGGGUCAUAGCUGUUUCCUG
rnacentral:rRNA from 1 species